rnacentral:rRNA from 1 species
AGGGCACCACCAGGAGUGGAGCCUGCGGCUUAAUUUGACUCAACACGGGGAAACUCACCCGGCCCGGACACUGGAAGGAUUGACAGAUUGAGAGCUCUUUCUUGAUUCAGUGGGUGGUGGCGCAUGGCCGUUCUUAGUUGGUGGAGUGAUUUGUCUGGUUAAUUCCGAUAACGAACGAGACUCUAGCCUACUAAAUAGACCUCGGCAUUCUUUGUACUGUCGAGGCGCUUCUUAGAGGGACUGGCGGCGUUUCAGCCGCAUGAGAAAGAGCAAUAACAGGUCUGUGAUGCCCUUAGAUGUCCGGGGCCGCACGCGCGCUACACUGAAGAGAUCAGCGUGCAUGUGCUUCCUACUCCGAAAGGAGCGGGAAACCGAGUGAACCUUUUUCGUGCUUGGGAUUGGGGAUUGUAAUUGUGCCCCUUGAACGAGGAAUUCCCAGUAAACACUAGUCAUCAGCUAGUGCUGAUUACGUCCCUGCCCUUCGUACACACCGCCCGUCGCUACUACCGAUUGAAUGGU